UACGUAGGGUGCAAGCGUUGUCCGGAAUUAUUGGGCGUAAAGAGCUCGUAGGCGGUUUGUCGCGUCUGCUGUGAAAACUCGGGGCUUAACCCCGGGCCUGCAGUGGGUACGGGCAGACUAGAGUGCGGUAGGGGAGACUGGAAUUCCCGGUGUAGCGGUGAAAUGCGCAGAUAUCGGGAGGAACACCGGUGGCGAAGGCGGUUCUCUGGGCCUUACCUGGCGCUGAGGAGCGAAAGCGUGGGGAGCGAACAGG
rnacentral:rRNA from 1 species